ensembl:lncRNA
UCCUGGAGGAGAGGUGGAAGGUUGAUGUUGUACUGGAGGAGAGGAGGAAGGUUGAUGUUGUACUGUACUCCUGGAGGAGAGCUGGAAGGUUGAUGUUGUCCUUGGGGAGAGGUGGAAGGUUGAUGUUGUCCUGGAGGAGAGGUGGAAGGUUGAUGUUGUCCUGGAGGAGUGGUGGAAGGUUAAUGUUGUACUGGAGGAGAGGAGGAAGGUUGAUGUUGUACUGUACUCCUGAAGGAGAGGUGGAAAUUUGAUGUUGUACUGUACUCCUGGGGGAGAGGUGGAAUGUUGAUGUUGUCCUGGAGGAGAGGUGGAAGGUUGAUGUUGUACUGUACUCCUGAAGGAGAGGUGGAAGGUUGAUGUUGUCAUGGAGGAGAGGAGGAAGGUUGAUGUUGUACUGUACUCCUGGAGGAGAGGUGGAAGGUUGAUGUUGUCCUGGAGGAAAGGUGGAAGGUUGAUGUUGUCCUGGAGGAGAGGUGGAAG